GUGCCACUAGCUCAGCUGGAUAGAGCGUUCGGCUACGAACCGAAAGGUCAGGGGUUCGAAUCCCUUGUGGCACGCCA
rnacentral:tRNA from 1 species